rnacentral:rRNA from 1 species
UACGGGGGGGGCAAGCGUUGGUCGGAAUUACUGGGCGGAAAGGGCUCGUAGGCGGCCAACUAAGUCAGACGUGAAAUCCCUCGGCUUAACCGGGGAACUGCGUCUGAUACUGGAUGGCUUGAGUUUGGGAGAGGGAUGCGGAAUUCCAGGUGUAGCGGUGAAAUGCGUAGAUAUCUGGAGGAACACCGGUGGCGAAGGCGGCAUCCUGGACCAACACUGACGCUGAGGAGCGAAAGCCAGGGGAGCAAACGGG